ACGUGAACCGUUCAGGGGUAAACCUGAGAAACCCGAAAGGUCGAAAGGGGAAAUUCAUUCGCGUCUCGAUCGUCGGCGCGGGGCGGUCGCGCGACGGAGGGCGUUCGCGCCCGAAGCGCCUUCCGCCUCGUCGAAUCGGCGUCGAACGCGUGCAUUUUUCCCCUAGUAGGACGUCGCGAUCCGUUGGGUGCCGACCUAAGGCCCGCGAAGGAGCCCGAACGAGACGGUUCGCCGUCCCGUUCGGACUCGCGGCGUUUCCCGGUCGGCCGGCCCGACGGUAUACAGAUGGCGCGGGGCCGCUGACUCCCAGUUAGCGUCCGGCCCGUCGCAAGCGCGCCGGAUUGUCGAAGAUCGGACCUGGCGCCGAUCCCGGCACCCGGUGACUGUUGGCGGCGGCGCUCUCGGACAGACCUCGUCUCGAAACGCCGAUCUGCGACGCCGUAGCUUUGGGUACUUUCAGGACCCGUCUUGAA
rnacentral:rRNA from 1 species